AAUCUUCAAUCUUAUAGGUCUUUGCGGGGUCUAUAGGCUUGGACUUGGAGGCUUGUCGGUAUUAAUGCCCGGCUCCUCUUAAAUGCAUUAGCUUGAUUCCUUGCGGAUCGGCUCUCGGUGUGAUAAUUGUCUACGCCGUGACCGUGAAGCGUUUUGGCAAGCUUCUAACUGUCUUGUAAGAGACACUAUUUAUGAC
rnacentral:misc_RNA from 1 species